GCCGAGGUAGCUCAACGGUUGAGCAACGGUUUUGUAAACCGUAGGUUGUGGGUUCAAAUCCCAUCCUCGGCU
rnacentral:tRNA from 1 species